GGACGAACGCUGGCGGCGUGCCUAAUACAUGCAAGUCGAGCGAGCGGAACUAACAGAUUUACUUCGGUAAUGACGUUAGGAAAGCGAGCGGCGGAUGGGUGAGUAACACGUGGGGAACCUGCCCCAUAGUCUGGGAUACCACUUGGAAACAGGUGCUAAUACCGGAUAAGAAAGCAGAUCGCAUGAUCAGCUUUUAAAAGGCGGCGUAAGCUGUCGCUAUGGGAUGGCCCCGCGGUGCAUUAGCUAGUUGGUAAGGUAAAGGCUUACCAAGGCGAUGAUGCAUAGCCGAGUUGAGAGACUGAUCGGCCACAUUGGGACUGAGACACGGCCCAAACUCCUACGGGAGGCAGCAGUAGGGAAUCUUCCACAAUGGACGCAAGUCUGAUGGAGCAACGCCGCGUGAGUGAAGAAGGUUUUCGGAUCGUAAAGCUCUGUUGUUGGUGAAGAAGGAUAGAGGUAGUAACUGGCCUUUAUUUGACGGUAAUCAACCAGAAAGUCACGGCUAACUACGUGCCAGCAGCCGCGGUAAUACGUAGGUGGCAAGCGUUGUCCGGAUUUAUUGGGCGUAAAGCGAGCGCAGGCGGAAGAAUAAGUCUGAUGUGAAAGCCCUCGGCUUAACCGAGGAACUGCAUCGGAAACUGUUUUUCUUGAGUGCAGAAGAGGAGAGUGGAACUCCAUGUGUAGCGGUGGAAUGCGUAGAUAUAUGGAAGAACACCAGUGGCGAAGGCGGCUCUCUGGUCUGCAACUGACGCUGAGGCUCGAAAGCAUGGGUAGCGAACAGGAUUAGAUACCCUGGUAGUCCAUGCCGUAAACGAUGAGUGCUAAGUGUUGGGAGGUUUCCGCCUCUCAGUGCUGCAGCUAACGCAUUAAGCACUCCGCCUGGGGAGUACGACCGCAAGGUUGAAACUCAAAGGAAUUGACGGGGGCCCGCACAAGCGGUGGAGCAUGUGGUUUAAUUCGAAGCAACGCGAAGAACCUUACCAGGUCUUGACAUCUAGUGUCAUUUGUAGAGAUACAAAGUUCCCUUCGGGGACGCUGAGACAGGUGGUGCAUGGCUGUCGUCAGCUCGUGUCGUGAGAUGUUGGGUUAAGUCCCGCAACGAGCGCAACCCUUGUUAUUAGUUGCCAGCAUUAAGUUGGGCACUCUAAUGAGACUGCCGGUGACAAACCGGAGGAAGGUGGGGAUGACGUCAAGUCAUCAUGCCCCUUAUGACCUGGGCUACACACGUGCUACAAUGGGCAGUACAACGAGAAGCGAGCCUGCGAAGGCAAGCGAAUCUCUGAAAGCUGUUCUCAGUUCGGACUGCAGUCUGCAACUCGACUGCACGAAGCUGGAAUCGCUAGUAAUCGCGGAUCAGCACGCCGCGGUGAAUACGUUCCCGGGCCUUGUACACACCGCCCGUCACACCAUGGGAGUCUGCAAUGCCCAAAGCCGGUGGCCUAACCUUCGGGAAGGAGCCGUCUAAGGCAGGGCAGAUGACUGGGGUGAA
rnacentral:rRNA from 1 species